rnacentral:rRNA from 1 species
CCCUUAGAUGUUCUGGGCCGCACGCGCGCUACACUGAUACAUGCAACGAGUUUAUAACCUUGAUCUGACGGUCUGGGUAAUCUUCAAACUGUAUCGUGUUAGGGAUCGAUUCUUGCAAUUUUUAAUCGUAAACGAGGAAUUCCUAGUAAACGCAAGUCAUCAGCUUGCAUUGAUUACGUCCCUUCCCUUUGUACACACCGCCCGUCGACUCUACCGAUUGAAUGGUUCGGUGAAAACUUUGGACUGUGGCAUUGUCCUUCAUUGGACUUCGCCGUAGGAAAUUGUUUAAACCUCAUCAUUUAGAGGAAGAAUAAGUCGUAACA